rnacentral:misc_RNA from 1 species
AUGGCCCAACCUCCCACCCGUGACUAUUGUACCUUGUUGCUUCGGCGGGCCCGCCAGCGUUGCUGGCCGCCGGGGGGCGACUCGCCCCCGGGCCCGUGCCCGCCGGAGACCCCAACAUGAACCCUGUUCUGAAAGCUUGCAGUCUGAGUGUGAUUCUUUGCAAUCAGUUAAAACUUUCAACAAUGGAUCUCUUGGUUCCGGCAUCGAUGAAGAACGCAGCGAAAUGCGAUAACUAAUGUGAAUUGCAGAAUUCAGUGAAUCAUCGAGUCUUUGAACGCACAUUGCGCCCCCUGGUAUUCCGGGGGGCAUGCCUGUCCGAGCGUCAUUGCUGCCCUCAAGCCCGGCUUGUGUGUUGGGCCCUCGUCCCCCGGCUCCCGGGGGACGGGCCCGAAAGGCAGCGGCGGCACCGCGUCCGGUCCUCGAGCGUAUGGGGCUUCGUCUUCCGCUCCGUAGGCCCGGCCGGCGCCCGCCGACGCAUUUGUUUGCAACUUGUUUUUUUCCAGGUUGACCUCGGAUCAGGUAGGGAUA